rnacentral:RNase_P_RNA from 1 species
AACACCAGCAUUUCUACAUUUUACCUGCUGGCAGAAACGCUUAAAUUGCGCAUCAAAGCAGGUGGGAAAUUCGGUGAAACGUUGCGAAGCCCUUGAAUGCCAAGGCACCCAAUUUAGGUUGCCGACCUCCGUGAGGAGAGCCAUUGGAAAAUGGUUGUGGGUGCUGUUAUCAGAAAUUUACAAAUCGUAAGAUUUGAUGGGAAUGACAGUGGACGCUUCGCUUGACACGAAUCCGCAACGGGUUCGAAGUCUGUUGAGUGCAAUUGUAGGACACUGCUAUUGCGGUGAACGCGAUACCGAUUACUGUUGGUGUU